UCCACAGUCCCUGAACACAAUGACUCUAUCCAUGGAAUGGGGCUGGGUCUGUCUCUUCUUCUUGUCAGUUACUGCAGGAGUCAACUCUGAGGUCCAGCUGCAUCAGUCUGGAGCUGAGCUGGUGAAGCCUGGGGUUUCAGUGAAAAUUUCCUGCAAGGCUUCUGGCUACAGCUUCACCAGCUACAAUAUGCACUGGGUAAAGCAGAGGCCUGGACAGGCCGUUGAGUGGAUUGGAGUUAUUAAUCCGGAAAGUGGAGGUACAGACUACAAUGGGAAGUUCAGGGGCAAGGUCACACUGACUGUAGACAAAUCGUCCAGCACAGCCUUCAUGCAACUUGGCAGCCUGACACCUGAGGACACUGCGGUCUAUUACUGUGCAAGACACAGCAUUGUAACCACAUGCUGA